rnacentral:rRNA from 1 species
GUUACAGCAGCCGCGGUAAUACAGAGGGGGCAAGCGUUGUUCGGAAUUACUGAGCGUAAAGGGCGCGUAGGCGGCCUUCUAAGUCGAACGUGAAAUCCCUGGGCUCAACCCAGGAACUGCGUCCGAUACUGGUUGGCUUGAAUCCGGGAGAGGGAUGUGGAAUUCCAGGUGUAGCGGUGGAAUGCGUAGAUAUCUGGAGGAACACCGGUGGCGAAGGCGGCAUCCUGGACCGGUAUUGACGCUGAGGAGCGAAAGCCAGGGGAGCAAACGGGAUUAGAAACCCUAGUAGUCC